GGGAGAAGUGAUGAUGCGUUAUCAAUAGACAUCUCUGAAUCUAAGAUGAUGAACAAUGUCAUCAUGCAACACCAUCUGAUCUUAC